rnacentral:rRNA from 1 species
GACGUAGGAUGCGAGCGUUAAUCGGAAUUACUGGGCGUAAAGCGUGCGCAGGCGGCUUUGCAAGACAGAUGUGAAAUCCCCGGGCUCAACCUGGGAACUGCAUUUGUGACUGCAUGGCUGGAGUGCGGCAGAGGGGGAUGGAAUUCCGCGUGUAGCAGUGAAAUGCGUAGAUAUGCGGAGGAACACCGAUGGCGAAGGCAAUCCCCUGGGCCUGCACUGACGCUCAUGCACGAAAGCGUGGGGAGCAAACAGG